AUGGAUGACAGCGCCCUGAACUUCAUGUCAUGGAAUGUUAGGGGGUUAAACUGCCCGGCAAAGCGUACUGCGAUCAACGAUGUAGCCUCCGCGCAUAGAUUAGCUGUGUUAUGUUUGCAGGAAACCAAGAUAGAGGUGUGGUCGACGACGGUCGCCAGGGAGAUCGGUGGCUCUACGAUGCAGGGCUGCGUGGUUCUGCCGGCAGUAGGAACUAGGGGAGGUGUAGCGAUCUUCUAG
rnacentral:rRNA from 1 species